GAGGAAUAUUGGUCAAUGGACGGAAGUCUGAACCAGCCAUGCCGCGUGCAGGAAGACGGCUCUAUGAGUUGUAAACUGCUUUUGUACGAGGGUAAACGCAGAUACGUGUAUCUGCCUGAAAGUAUCGUACGAAUAAGGAUCGGCUAACUCCGUGCCAGCAGCCGCGGUAAUACGGAGGAUCCAAGCGUUAUCCGGAUUUAUUGGGUUUAAAGGGUGCGUAGGCGGUUUAGUAAGUCAGCGGUGAAAUUUUGGUGCUUAACACCAAACGUGCCGUUGAUACUGCUGGGCUAGAGAGUAGUUGCGGUAGGCGGAAUGUAUGGUGUAGCGGUGAAAUGCUUAGAGAUCAUACAGAACACCGAUUGCGAAGGCAGCUUACCAAACUAUAUCUGACGUUGAGGCACGAAAGCGUGGGGAGCAAACAGGAUUAGAUACCCUGGUAGUCCACGCAGUAAACGAUGAUAGCUCGUUGUCGGCGAUACACAGUCGGUGACUAAGAGAAAUCGAUAAGCUAUCCACCUGGGGAGUACGUUCGCAAGAAUGAAACUCAAAGGAAUUGACGGGGGCCCGCACAAGCGGAGGAACAUGUGGUUUAAUUCGAUGAUACGCGAGGAACCUUACCCGGGCUUGAAAGUUACUGACGAUUCUGGAAACAGGAUUUCCCUUCGGGGCAGGAAACUAGGUGCUGCAUGGUUGUCGUCAGCUCGUGCCGUGAGGUGUCGGGUUAAGUCCCAUAACGAGCGCAACCCCUACUGAUAGUUGCCAUCAGAGCGUUUGAGCGAUCAAACAAGCUGGGCACUCUAUCGGGACUGCCGGUGUAAGCCGAGAGGAAGGUGGGGAUGACGUCAAAUCAGCACGGCCCUUACGUCCGGGGCGACACACGUGUUACAAUGGUAGGUACAGAGGGCAGCCACCCAGUGAUGGGGAGCGAAUCUCGAAAGCCUAUCUCAGUUCGGAUUGGAGGCUGAAACUCGCCUCCAUGAAGUUGGAUUCGCUAGUAAUCGCGCAUCAGCCAUGGCGCGGUGAAUACGUUCCCG
rnacentral:rRNA from 1 species